UACGAAGGGUGCAAGCGUUACUCGGAAUUACUGGGCGUAAAGCGUGCGUAGGCGGCCUGUUAAGUCUGAUGUGAAAUCCCCGGGCUCAACCUGGGAAUUGCAUUGGAUACUGGCAGGCUAGAGUGCGGUAGAGGGUAGUGGAAUUCCCGGUGUAGCGGUGAAAUGCGUAGAGAUCGGGAGGAACACCAGUGGCGAAGGCGGCUACCUGGACCAGAACUGACGCUGAGGCGCGAAAGCGUGGGGAGCAAACAGG
rnacentral:rRNA from 1 species